rnacentral:rRNA from 1 species
GACGAACGCUGGCGGCGUGCUUAACACAUGCAAGUCGAGCGGAAAGGCCCUUUCGGGGGUACUCGAGCGGCGAACGGGUGAGUAACACGUGAGUAAUCUGCCCUUGGCUUUGGGAUAACCACCGGAAACGGUGGCUAAUACCGGAUAUGACGGGCUCCGGCAUCGGGGUUCGUGGAAAGUUUUUUCGGCCAGGGAUGUGCUCGCGGCCUAUCAGCUUGUUGGUGGGGUAAUGGCCUACCAAGGCUUCGACGGGUAGCCGGCCUGAGAGGGUGACCGGCCACACUGGGACUGAGACACGGCCCAGACUCCUACGGGAGGCAGCAGUGGGGAAUAUUGGACAAUGGGCGGAAGCCUAAUCCAGCAACGCCGCGUGAGGGAUGACGGCC